ACUCCUACGGGAGGCAGCAGUGGGGAAUAUUGCACAAUGGGCGCAAGCCUGAUGCAGCCAUGCCGCGUGUAUGAAGAAGGCCUUCGGGUUGUAAAGUACUUUCAGCAGUGAGGAAGGUGGGUAUGUUAAUAGCAUAUCCAUUUGCAUUGACUGAUGAGCUGCAGAAAGAAGCACCGGCUAACUCCGUGCCAGCAGCCGCGGUAAUACGGAGGGUGCGAGCGUUAAUCGGAAUUACUGGGCGU
rnacentral:rRNA from 1 species